UACGGAGGGUGCAAGCGUUAUCCGGAUUCACUGGGUUUAAAGGGUGCGUAGGUGGGCAGUUAAGUCAGUGGUGAAAUCUCCGGGCUUAACCCGGAAACUGCCAUUGAUACUAUCUGUCUUGAAUACCGUAGAGGUGAGCGGAAUAUGUCAUGUAGCGGUGAAAUGCUUAGAUGUGACAUAGAACACCAAUUGCGAAGGCAGCUCACUACACGAAUAUUGACACUGAGGCACGAAAGCGUGGGGAUCAAACAGG
rnacentral:rRNA from 1 species